GUGAGUCAUCGAAUCUUUGAACGCACCUUGCGCCUUUUGGUAUUCCGAAAGGCAUGCCUGUUUGAGUGUCAUGUAGACUCAACUCUCGAGAGGUUUCUUGCGAGUUGGAUUUGGGUGUUGCCAUUUGGCUCGCCUUAAAAGUGUUAGUGGUUUAAGCACUUGAUCGGACGUGAUAAGUUUCGUCCGGCCGUGUGUCGUCGACCGCUCCUAAACCGCCUUGCGGCGCUCUUUGACUCUGACCUCAAAUCAGGUAGGACUACCCGCUGAACUUAAGCAUAUCAAUAAGCGGAGGA
rnacentral:misc_RNA from 1 species